GAUUGACCUCGGAUCAGGCAGGGAUACCCGCUGAACUUAAGCA
rnacentral:rRNA from 1 species